rnacentral:rRNA from 1 species
GACGAACGCUGGCGGCGUGCUUAACACAUGCCAGUCGAACGGAAAGGCCUGCUUUCCCUUGUGGAUUGCGGGUACUCGAGUGGCGAACGGGUGAGUAACACGUGAGUGAUCUGCCCCCAACUUGGGUAUAAGCCUGGGAAACUGGGUCUAAUUCCCGAUAGGACUGCAGGGUGGUGCCUGUGGUGGAAAACGAUUUUCUAGUGGUUGGGGAUGAGCUAGCGGCCUAUCAGCUUGUUGGUGGGGUAAUGGCCUACCAAGGCGGCGACGGGUAGCCGGCCUGAGAGGGUGGACGGGCACAUUGGGACUGAGAUACGGCCCAGACUCCUACGGGAGGCAGCAGUGGGGAAUAUUGCACAAUGGGCGGAAGCCUGAUGCAGCGACGCCGCGUGGGGGAUGACGGCCUUCGGGUUGUAAACUCCUUUCGACCGCGAGGAAGCCACCUGGUUGGAAGGGUGGUGACGGUAGUGGUAGAAGAAGCACCGGCUAACUACGUG